ACGACGGGCGGUCACGUGACGGCCGCGCGCGUCCCCGGCCGCUGCGGGUUCCGAGGCCGAGGAGAAAAGACUGCGAGGCCACCGCAGCUGUGGCCAGAGAGCACAGGAUGAACCAGCAGUGAAAGAGAAAUUACUGCAAACUGGCUUGCUGCUGGUGAAGAUGAUGUUUUAUUUUUGUGACAAGCAUCUGUGGGAUUUGGAAUAGAAAUGAUGGCUAGCUGUGGUGAAAUUGAUCAUUCAAUAAACAUGCUUCCCACGAACAGGAAAGCGAAUGAG